CUGCAGACGGCUCAUUACACAGUGAUAAACUAAUAGACUUUCGGGUUUUUAACCUUUGGAUAACGCAGUAAAUCGGGGCUAUACAUAGAAGCGAUGGGUGACUGGCAACGGAAGCUCAGCGAUUAUUAGCAUUACUACCAAUACCUUUCGGGUCUUGUGGUGAAACCGAAUAAUAUUGCAGAUCGAGGAUUUAUCUUCGACAAGUCUACUGUGUCACUGCCCUAUCAACUUUCGAUGGUACGGUAUUGGCCUACCAUGGUUGUAACGGGUAACGGGGAAUUAGGGUUCGAUUCCGGAGAGGGAGCCUGAGAAAUGGCUACCACUUCUACGGAAGGCAGCAGGCGCGCAAAUUACUCAAUCCCAAUACGGGGAAGUAGUGACAAUAAAUAUCAAUACCUAUCCUUAACGGAGGGCAAUUGAAAUGAACACAAAUUAAAACUCUUAAUUAACACAAUUGGAGGGCAAGUCUGGUGCCAGCAGCCGCGGUAAUUCCAGCUCCAAUAGCAUAUACUAAAGUUGUUGCAGUUAAAAAGCUCGUAGUUGAAGUUAAAGGUUUACUGGGCUAAAGUUAUUUGCCGCUCUGGUGGUUAAAUCAACUCCAGUAUCUCUUUUUUUAAUAGUUCAGCUUCUAUUAUCUUUGAUAGUAGUUGUUUGGACAUUUCACUGUGAGAAAAUUGUGGUGUUUAAAGCAGGCGUUUCGCCUGAUCUUUUGCAGCAUGGUAUGAUGAAACAUGACAUUUUACGCUAUUGGUUUGCGUCUAAAGUGUAAUGAUUAAUAGGGAUGGAUGGGGGUGUUCAUAUUGGUGGGCGAGAGGUGAAAUUCGUUGACCCUAUCAAGAUGAACUUCUGCGAAAGCAUUCACCAAAUACUUCCCCAUUAAUCAAGAACGAAAGUUUGGGGAUCGAAGACGAUCAGAUACCGUCGUAGUCCAAACUAUAAACUAUGUCGACCAGGGAUCGGUUAAAAUUUUUUUAAAAUUUAAUCGGCACCUUGUGAGAAAUCACGAGUGUUUAGAUUCCGGGGGGAGUAUGGUCGCAAGUCGAACUAAAGG
rnacentral:rRNA from 1 species